UGCCAGCAGCCGCGGUAAUACAGAGGGUGCAAGCGUUGUCCGGAUUUAUUGGGCGUAAAGAGUUUGUAGGCUGCUAUUUAAGUCUAGAGUGAAAGAACGGAGCUUAACUCCGUCCACGCUUUGGAAACUAUUUAGCUAGAGACAGUUAGAGGUAAGAGGAAUUUCCGGUGUAGCGGUGAAAUGCGUAGAUAUCGGAAGGAACACCAGAGGCGAAGGCGUCUUACUGGGGCUGUUCUGACGCUGAGAAACGAAAGCUAGGGUAGCGAAUGGGAUUAGAUA
rnacentral:rRNA from 1 species